UGGCCUCUAAAGCAUCAAGCUUAUCUUAUCUCCUUCAUAUCACUUAUUCUCCAGAAAUUACUCCAAAGGAAAGCCAUGGAAGCUCCAAGAGUUCUGGUCUAUAACCUGACCUUUACAAUCUGAAGCAAACCCAUUGUUUCAAAAUUACAAGCUGGUAGAACAUCUCCCAUAUUAAGGAAUUCAAGUGAAUAAUCUGAUUUAACAUCAAGGUAAGUGAGAGAGGACAACCUAAACCUUGAAGAAUCCAAGUCUUGGCAAGUGAGGUUUCUAUCUAGCAAGCAAGGUAUGCAAAGGAUGAUCCACUUCCUAUUUCCUGUGCAUGAAUCCAAUACUUGUACAUAUAUUCAAAUGUUGAUCUCCCAAUGGAAUCACAUGAUACUCAGUCAUUGUUUGUGAGCUCCAAGUUGAUUCGGGGAUUUUUUUUUAGUCUUUACUAUGCAUAUUUUCGUAGCUUGGAUCCCAAUAGAGGAUUUGUAGACAUUGUAAAGCUA